GUUUAAUUCAAAGAUUAAGGAUUACCAUAAUCUUAAUCAAAGAUCAAAAUCUACUCUUUGAUCUUAAUUGCUCUCUCUCUCUCUCUACUCCCUUUACUCUUUGAACUCACCUUAAUAAAUAAGAACCUUUUCUAGAACAAAAGUCCAUUUCAGUCCAUCGUUUGUUUUGUUCGUUGUACUCAUCGUUUAAUUAAACAACACCUCAAUUCUGAUUGUUUAUUUGAUUUUGUGGUUUCCGUUAUAGUAAUUAAUCUUGACAUCAUGGUUCGAGCUCAACGAAAAGCUGUUGGAUCCAAGAGAGUUCGUGUGACGCCGCAUAAGGUCAUGAAAAAAAUUCAGUUAACAUUGAAAGAUUUUAGUCAAUUUGUUCUUGUGUCAUUUGGUCGAUUUUUACACAUGACUUCUGCAGAUUUGCGGGGAAAAGGAGCAUAUCAUAAGAGAGAACCUCAUCCUCAGUACGAUCGUCGGCGAGGAUAACCUUCAUAAUCUUUCUGAACUUGAAUCUUGUGAUUAUGAAUAGAACCAUCCAUGUAUUCAGUCCCAAGUUUUCUCAAUUUUUGUAUUCUGACCUAAAAUUGUUUAUAUUUUAACGACUUCAUUAAACCAAUUCUUAUUUCCAUUCAACUUGACAUUUGGUGAAUUUAAUCCAAAUUAAUCUAUUAUUUAACAUUCAAGAUUGGCGGACUUCAGAAAUUUAUUGAACACAUGUGUAAAGCUUGACUCUCAUUGGAGGAUUCAAUAAAAAUGUAAAUGUUUGUUCACCUUGUUACAACUCCGUGUUUUGUUUUCAUUUCAACUCAACUGUUUUUUUAAUUAUAUUGUCAAUUGUGUAUCUCUGCUUUUGGUUGAUUAUUCCAGUUAUUACAAACUUGUAUUGGUCAUGUCAAUCAAAACUUCAUCUUGGGCCAAAACAAGUAAAAGUCGAAAUGUGGUUUUACUAGUUGCGGGUGUUAUCUUAAUGUCUUCUUAUCCACUUUAUUUUUAUCCUAAAUCAAGGAAAUCUGAAUAUGAGCAAAUUCAAGCAAUCAACCGACGAGGAAUUGAUAAGGAAGCUAUUCAACCAGGUGGAUUCAAGCCUUGGACAGACCCAUUUGCUGCAUUCAGGUCGAAAUGAUGAUUCUUUUUGUAUGAUUUCUAGAAUUCAAAACGGUAUUUGUAAAUCUGUAUAAAAAAUUUCUAAUUGAAUCAAUGAAAGAUUUGAAUUUCACG